AUUUCUUCGGAGAUUUCACUUUGAGAUGGACCCGCGGCGCAUUAGCUAGUUGGUGAGGUAAAGGCCCACCAAGGCAACGAUGCGUAGCCGACCUGAGAGGGUGAUCGGCCACAUUGGAACUGAGACACGGUCCAGACUCCUACGGGAGGCAGCAGUGGGGAAUAUUGCGCAAGGGGGGAAACCCUGACGCAGCAACGCCGCGGAUAUGAAAGGGCCUUCGGGUUGUAAAGUUCUGUCUUCUGGGACGAUAAUGAC
rnacentral:rRNA from 1 species